GCCGCAGUAGCUCAGUGGUAGAGCACGUCAUUGGUAAUGACGGGGUCGGAAGUUCAAUUCUUCUCUGCGGCACCA
rnacentral:tRNA from 1 species